GGAGGUAGUGACAAUAAAUCACAAUGCGGGACUCAUAGUCUUGCAAUUGGAUUGAGAACAACGUACAACUCUUAUCGAUAAGCCAUUGGAGGGCAAGUCUGGUGCCAGCAGCCGCGGUAAUUCCAGCUCCAAUAGCGUAUAUUAACGUUGUUGCAGUUAAAAAGCUCGUAGUUGAAGUGAGGGAGUGUGUGUUCAUGAGAGCUAGUCUCGAGUGUUCACAACCUCCCCCCUCCAAUCGGUGUAGUGGGGUAUUCAGUUAUUUCACUACUCCUUUGGUCGUUUACUGUGAGAAAAUUAGAGUGUUCAAAGCGGGCGUUUGUUUGAAUAGAUUAGCAUGGAAUAAUGAUUGAAGGCUUUCGUGUUCGAUUUGAUUGGUUUGUUCAUGGAAGCAAGGUUAAAAGGAACAGUUGGGGGUAUUCAUAUUCACUAGUUAGAGGUGAAAUUCUCGGAUUUAUGGAAGAUGAACAAGUGCGAAAGCA
rnacentral:rRNA from 1 species